GACGAACGCUGGCGGCGUGCUUAACACAUGCAAGUCGAACGGAAAGGCCCUUCGGGGUCCUCGAGUGGCGAACGGGUGAGUAACACGUGGGUGAUCUGCCCUGCACUUUGGGAUAAGCCUGGGAAACUGGGUCUAAUACCGAAUAGGACCACGCGCUUCAUGGUGUGUGGGGGAAAGCUUUUGGGGUGUGGGAUGGGCACGCGGCGUAUCAGCUUUUUGGUGGGGUAAUGGCCGACCAAGGCGACGACGGGUAGCCGGCCUGAGAGGGUGACCGGCCACACUGGGACUGAGAUACGGCCCAGACUCCUACGGGAGGCAGCAGUGGGGAAUAUUGCACAAUGGGCGCAAGCCUGAUGCAGCGACGCCGCGUGAGGGAUGACGGCCUUCGGGUUGUAAACCUCUUUCACCAGGGACGAAGCGUAAGUGACGGUACCUGGAGAAGAAGCACCGGCCAACUACGUG
rnacentral:rRNA from 1 species